rnacentral:rRNA from 1 species
UACAGAGGUCCCGAGCGUUGUUCGGAUUCACUGGGCGUAAAGGGUGCGCAGGUGGGUUGGCAAGUUUGAUGUGAAAGCCCCGGGCUUAACCCGGGAAAGGCAUUGAAUACUGCUGAUCUGGAGGAUCGGAGGGGGGGACUGGAAUUCUUGGUGUAGCAGUGAAAUGCGUAGAUAUCAAGAGGAACACCAGUGGCGAAGGCGAGUCCCUGGACGAUACCUGACACUGAGGCACGAAAGCCAAGGGAGCAAACAGG